GGAGCGUGCACUUCCGCCACCAUUACCACUACAGCGUUCUGUAGUGGUUAUGGUGCUGGGAGUGUCCCUUUA